rnacentral:rRNA from 1 species
UGCAAGUCCAACGAACCUUCGGGUUAGUGGCGGACGGGUGAGUAACGCGUGAGAAUCUGCCCUCAGGAGGGGGAUAACAGUUGGAAACGACUGCUAAUACCCCAUAUGCCGAGAGGUGAAACUAAUUUCGCCUGGGGAUGAGCUCGCGUCUGAUUAGCUUGUUGGUGGGGUAAUGGCCUACCAAGGCUUUGAUCAGUAGCUGGUCUGAGAGGACGAUCAGCCACACUGGGACUGAGACACGGCCCAGACUCCUACGGGAGGCAGCAGUGGGGAAUUUUCCGCAGUGGGCGAAAGCCUGACGGAGCAACGCCGCGUGAGGGAUGAAGGCCUUUGGGCUGUAAACCUCUUUUCUCAAGGAAGAAGAUCUGACGGUACUUGAGGAAUAAGCCACGGCUAAUUCCGUGCCAGCAGCCGCGGUAAUACGGGAGUGGCAAGCGUUAUCCGGAAUUAUUGGGCGUAAAGCGUCCGCAGGCGGCCGUUUAAGUCUGUUGUUAAAUUGUGGGGCUCAACUCCAUCACGGCAAUGGAAACUGUUCGGCUUGAGUAUGGUAGGGGCAGAGGGAAUUUCCGGUGUAGCGGUGAUAUGCGUAGAUAUCGGGAAGAACACCAGUGGCGAAAGCGCUCUGCUGGGCCAUUACUGACGCUCAUGGACGAAAGCCAGGGGAGCGAAAUGGAUUAGAUACCCAUGUAGUCCUGGCCGUAAACGAUGAACACUAGAUGUUGGGGGAAUCGACCCCCUCAGUGUCGUAGCUAACGCGUUAAGUGUUCCGCCUGGGGAGUACGCACGCAAGUGUGAAACUCAAAGGAAUUGACGGGG